AUGGAUGGGUUUUGGCUCUCGUCUCGUGGAACUCAAGCUGCAGAAUGCCGAAAAUAUAAUUAUACUGUAUUUCAAAACCAGGAACAACCGAGCUUCUCUCACGUACAGAUGCAGUGGCCUCGGCUCAUUCAAAAGGAUAGAUCCAUCACCCAUGUGCAACUUGUAACUGACUGCGAAGCUAUUGUUUCAGCAUUAGAGAGAGUUAAGGAGCAGCGUUGUGCUCAACAGCAAAUCUUCCGGGAGAUGACGUCUACCCGCAUGCUGAUGACACUAAGGAGGUGUAACGGGAAAUUUGACAAUGAUGACUCGGACUUUGAAGGUGGUGUGGUGACACAAGAGGUCCCAGUUGAGUGCUACCACCGGAAAAUAGACAAGAAAUUCGUAACCUUUGAAGGUAGCAUUACUGGAAGGAGGUUUUAUGGAUGUGGUGAGGAAAUUGACAUUAUGGCUAUGUUCGAUGGGUUGAUAUGGAGUAUCCUGAAGCUACUAAAAAGGCUUCAGAGAAAGAAAACCUCGCAUGGGAGUAGGGUCCCAACCCCAACAACCACGGCAGCCAUCCAAUGGUGCGCGCGCAAGGAGGGGGGAUGA
rnacentral:rRNA from 1 species